rnacentral:rRNA from 1 species
AGAAUGAACGCUGGCGGCAUGCCUAACACAUGCAAGUCGAACGAAGGCUUCGGCCUUAGUGGCGCACGGGUGCGUAACGCGUGGGAAUCUACCCUUAGGUUCGGAAUAACAGUUGGAAACGACUGCUAAUACCGGAUGAUGACGUAAGUCCAAAGAUUUAUCGCCUAGGGAUGAGCCCGCGUAGGAUUAGCUAGUUGGUGUGGUAAAGGCGCACCAAGGCAACGAUCCUUAGCUGGUCUGAGAGGAUGAUCAGCCACACUGGGACUGAGACACGGCCCAGACUCCUACGGGAGGCAGCAGUGGGGAAUAUUGGACAAUGGGCGAAAGCCUGAUCCAGCAAUGCCGCGUGAGUGAUGAAGGCCUUAGGGUUGUAAAGCUCUUUUACCCGGGAUGAUAAUGACAGUACCGGGAGAAUAAGCUCCGGCUAACUCCGUGCCAGCAGCCGC